AACGCUAGCUACAGGCUUAACACAUGCAAGUCGAGGGGCAGCAUUAGGUAGCAAUACUGAGAUGGCGACCGGCGCACGGGUGCGUAACGCGUAUCCAACUUUCCCGUUACUCUGGGAUAGCCUUCCGAAAGGGAGAUUAAUACCGGAUGGUGUUUGAAUUCCACAUGUUAUUCAAACUAAAGAUUUAUCGGUAACGGAUAGGGAUGCGUGACAUUAGGUAGAUGGCGGGGUAACGGCCCACCAUGCCCACGAUGUCUAGGGGUUCUGAGAGGAAGGUCCCCCACACUGGAACUGAGACACGGUCCAGACUCCUACGGGAGGCAGCAGUGAGGAAUAUUGGUCAAUGGUCGGAAGACUGAACCAGCCAAGUAGCGUGAAGGAUGAAGGUUCUAUGGAUUGUAAACUUCUUUUAUAUAGGAAUAAAACCUCCCACGUGUGGGAGCUUGUAUGUACUAUAUGAAUAAGCAUCGGCUAACUCCGUGCCAGCAGCCGCGGUAAUACGGAGGAUGCGAGCGUUAUCCGGAUUUAUUGGGUUUAAAGGGAGCGUAGACGGGAUGUUAAGUCAGUUGUGAAAGGCUGCGGCUCAACCGCAGCACUGCAGUUGAUACUGGCGUCCUUGAGUGCGGUUGAGGUGUGUGGAAUUCGUGGUGUAGCGGUGAAAUGCUUAGAUAUCACGAAGAACUCCGAUUG
rnacentral:rRNA from 1 species